GGCUUUUCGAGUAUAAUUUAAGGUCUGGCCUGCCCAAUGAGUUUUAAAUGGCCGCGGUAUUUUGACCGUGCAAAGGUAGCAUAAUCAUUAGUUUUUUAAUUGAAAGCUGGAAUGAAAGGUCGGAUGAGAAAAUAACUGUCUCUGUAAAAAUUAAUUAGAAUUUUAUAUUUAAGUUAAAAAGCUUAAAUUUAGCUAGAAGACGAGAAGACCCUAUAGAGUUUUAUUUAUUUUUGUUUGAAAAUUUUUAGUAUUAAAUAUUUUUUCAUUAAAAUAAAUUUGGUUGGGGUGAUCGAAAAACUUAUUAAACUUUUUUUAAUUUUUUACAUUAAUUUAUGAAUGUUUGAUCCUUUAAUAAAGAUUAUAAGAUAAAAUUACCUUAGGGAUAACAGCGUAAUUUUUUUAAAGAGUUCUAAUCGAAAAAAAAGAUUGCGACCUCGAUGUUGGAUUAAAAUAAAAUUUUGGUGUAGAAGCUAAAAUAUUUAGGUCUGUUCGACCUUUGAAAUUUUACAUGAUCUGAGUUUAGACCGGCGUGAG
rnacentral:rRNA from 1 species